AACGCUGGCGGCGUGCCUAACACAUGCAAGUCGAACGGGGUUACGAGAGCUUGCNCUUGUAACUUAGUGGCGAACGGGUGAGUAACGCGUGAGAAACCUGCCUCUCCAGUGGGGGGACAACAGUUGGAAACGACUGCUAAUACCGCAUAAGCGCACAGUAUCGCAUGAUACAGUGUGAAAAACUCCGGUGGUGUGAGAUGGACCCGCGUCUGAUUAGCUAGUUGGUAAGGUAACGGGCUUACCAAGGCGACGAUCAGUAGCCGGCCUGAGAGGGUGAACGGCCACAUUGGGACUGAGACACGGCCCAAACUCCUACGGGAGGCAGCAGUGGGGAAUAUUGCACAAUGGGGGAAACCCUGAUGCAGCGACGCCGCGUGAGCGAAGAAGUAUUUCGGUAUGUAAACUUCUUUAGCAGGGACGAAGGACGUGACGGUACCUGCAGAAAAAGCAACGGCUAACUACGUG
rnacentral:rRNA from 1 species